rnacentral:rRNA from 1 species
GACGAACGCUGGCGGCGUGCUUAACACAUGCAAGUCGAACGGAAAGGCCCCCUUGUGGGGUACUCGAGUGGCGAACGGGUGAGUAACACGUGAGUAACCUACCCUUGACUUUGGGAUAACUUCAGGAAACUGGGGCUAAUACCGGAUAGGAGCUCCUGCUGCAUGGUGGGGGUUGGAAAGUUUCGGCGGUUGGGGAUGGACUCGCGGCUUAUCAGCUUGUUGGUGGGGUAGUGGCUCACAAAGGCUUUGACGGGUAGCCGGCCUGAGAGGGUGACCGGCCACAUUGGGACUGGGAUACGGCCCAGACUCCUACGGGAGGCAGCAGUGGGGAAUAUUGCACAAUGGGCGGAAGCCUGAUGCAGCAACGCCGCGUGCGGGAUGACGGCCUUCGGGUUGUAAACCGCUUUCGCCUGUGACGAAGCGUGAGUGACGGUAAUGGGUAAAGAAGCACCGGCUAACUACGG